CUGACAGAAGAGAGUGAGCACACACUGGCAAUUGUAUAUGACUAUAUUUUUGCCCGGUGCGUGCUCACUUCUCUUUCUGUCAG